rnacentral:misc_RNA from 1 species
GUUCUGCUAAAAAUUGAGCUCAGCAUAUAAACCCUAAACCCUUAAAAGGCUUCACAUCGUCGACUCUAAAGCCUGGCCUUAAAGAAGACAAUGGCUCUGGCUGCGAUUAUCCGCAAAUCGGCGUCCAAUUUGGCUCCGCUAGUGAGUCGAAUCGUUCGAAUAGGUCACAGAAACUACCUUUCUGCCCUCUCCCCCCCAGUAAAUCACCAUGCCAGUUUUUCUCACAGCAGACCCCACGCUGUUCUACAAUACUAUUCUACGGCUAGUGAUGCUAAGAAGCAGAGUUCGACUGAGUUCCUUCUCCGAGUCAUUGAAUCCGAGAUCAAGGUAGCCCAGGAAACUGAUGAUCACGACCGGGUUGAAGAGUUUCCAAAAGAGUUCCCUUUCAAGAUUGAUGAUAAUGCAGGGCAACAAACUGUAAUUCUUACAAGAGAAUAUGAAGGUGAACUUGUGACAGUGGAUGUUCACAUGCCUGAUCUUGUUACUGGGGAAGGAAAUGAAAUUGAUGAUGACACUGAUGAUAUUCAGAAGCCAACUCAAUCUAGCAUCCCAUUGGUUGUUACUGUCUCUAAAAGGAGCGGAAAUUCUCUAGAGUUCCACUGUGUUGCUUACCCUGACGAGAUUGCAAUUGACAGUUUAUCAGUUAAAAAUCUAGAAACUCAAGAAGAUCAAGUUGCGUAUGAAGGGCCUAACUUUCAGGAUUUGGAUGAGAAAUUGAGGAAGGCUUUCCACAAGUAUCUGGAGAUUAGAGGAAUAAAGCCCAGCACAACCAACUUCCUGCAUGAGUACAUGAUCAACAAAGACAGUCGAGAAUUCUUGGGGUGGUUGAAGAACCUUAAGAAGUUCAUUGAAGCAUAAACCUUUUGGGACCAAUUUCUUCCAUGGGUACGUAAUUGACGGAGUCAAGAUUUGUGGGAGCAGGUGAAGAACCUCAAGGAAUUCACAGAAGCAUAAAUCAUUUUGCCCUACAAAAGAAAAUGUCAUGCUAACUAGCUUUUUGUGGCCUUCACCCAUCACCACCUUGUAGAAUUCUACUGGUAGCAUCCUAUCAUAAAUUCAUAUUUUUUAUACUUCAUGAAGUGGACAACUCUGUUUUAGGAAGUUCAUUGUAAAACUCCAAGAAGGCCAGAACAAGUGUUAAAAUGACUUAUGUCUUGGGAAGUAUUUGUUGCAUUGCUCAGGCAUAAAUACUCUUACAAAUUACUAGUCAUUUUAACACUUGUUCUGGCCU